ensembl:lncRNA
CAGCGCUCAGUGACUGCAGUGGAUUGUGGGUCAGGCCUGCGUUCUCAGAGAAAGAGAGGAACGAGGAGACGAGAGAAGCUCAAAUGAAGCAGAUUCUCAAUCUGAAUCACAGUCAGUGUGAAUCCAAUCAGAUCAGAGUGAAGCAGAAGCAGAGCCACGCCCCCACAGACACACGGACCAAUCACAGCUCCAGCGCAGAGAGUGGGCUGGGCAGGGGCGGGGCUUCUGGAGUGUGGUAUAGUAGUGAUUCAGAGAAAGCCCCGCCCAUCAUACAUGAAGCUCCGCCCAGCAGGACGAGAGUUUCCUCUCUAAAUGAAGACAGACAGAGUGAGCUCCAGCAUUACGUGUCAAAGCUGCUGGAACGUUCCCCCGGCGACCCUCUGGACGAGCCAAUCAGAGAGCACAAACGUGAGACUGAGCGUCACAUGAGCGACCCGCGAGCAAACCUGGAGCACAAACCAGCUCAAGAGGCGAGUCCCUUCACUUCAGUGUUUACAUGGCGUCACAUGACCGUUACGGCUCAGCUGAUUGGCUCGGCCGUGUGUGUGUUUCAGGUGUGUGUGUCUCGAAGCGUCCAGAGCAGAAGAUCCGUGGGCCGCAGAGGAGGAUCUCAGAGAGUCUGGAGAUGAAACUGUUAUUUAUGUGCUGAUAUUUUAUAUUUGAAAUAAAAACUCAUCCGUCUUAAAGGACUUGUGUUGA